GGAGAGGUGGCUCAGUGGUUAAGAGCACUGACUGCUCUUCCAGAGGUCCUGAGUUCAAUUCCCAGCUACCACA
rnacentral:tRNA from 1 species